rnacentral:rRNA from 1 species
AACGAACGCUGGCGGCAGGCUUAACACAUGCAAGUCGAGCGCCCCGCAAGGGGAGCGGCAGACGGGUGAGUAACGCGUGGGAAUCUACCCAUCUCUACGGAAUAACGCAUGGAAACGUGUGCUAAUACCGUAUACGUCCUUCGGGAGAAAGAUUUAUCGGAGAUGGAUGAGCCCGCGUUGGAUUAGCUAGUCGGUGGGGUAAAGGCCCACCAAGGCGACGAUCAGUAGCUGGUCUGAGAGGACGACCAGCCACACUGGAACUGAGACACGGUCCAGACUCCUACGGGAGGCAGCAGUGGGGAAUUUUGGACAAUGGGCGAAAGCCUGAUCCAGCCAUGCCGCGUGAGUGAUGAAGGCCCUAGGGUUGUAAAGCUCUUUCACCGGUGAAGAUAAUGACGGUAACCGGAGAGGAAGCCCCGGCUAACUUCGUGCCAGCCGCCGCAGUAAUAC